rnacentral:rRNA from 1 species
UACGUAGGGACCGAGCGUUGUCCGGAGUUACUGGGCGUAAAGCGCGCGCAGGCGGCGGUGCUGGCCCGGCGUGAAAGCCCCCGGCUCAACCGGGGAGGGUCGUCGGGGACCGCACCGCUUGAGGGCGGUAGGGGCUGGUGGAAUGCCUGGUGUAGUGGUGAAAUGCGUAGAGAUCAGGCGGAACACCCGUGGCGAAGGCGGCCAGCUGGGCCGUCCCUGACGCUGAGGCGCGAAGGCGUGGGGAGCGAACGGG